CAGCGCGUGCCUGGGGUCACCCGCACCGAGGUCGGAUACAGCCAGGGCGCCUUCCACGACCCCACCUACGAGGACGUCUGCACCGGCGCCACCGGCCACAACGAGGUCGUCCGCGUCCAGUACGACCCCGCCGCCUGCAAGUUCGACGACCUCCUCGACACCUUCUGGGCGCGCCACGACCCUACCACGCCCAAUCGUCAGGUCCGUUGCGACUCCGCCGCACAGCCCUGAUUGCUCAUCCCCUCAAUUUCGCUGUUGAUUCCUUUUCUGUGGUUCAGGAGUUGGGGGGAAUUUCUGCACAUUAGAAAUUUGUUGCUACUCAGAAAAUAUGUUUGAGAUUUUUUUUUGGAAAUUGCUUAGUUAAUUCUCUAGACAGAAACAAUUUAUUUCGAAAUUGACAAACAGAAAACGGACAAAAAAAAUUAAUAAUCGUCGCCUGAGAGAUUCGAACUCUCGCGGGGAAACCCCAUGUACUUAGCAGGCACACGCCUUAACCACUCGGCCAAAGCGACGCUUGUGUUCUUCCUGUCAUCAGUUCUACACAGCCAGAUGUAAGCUAAACACAUGCACUGUACACUCAUUAUCGGACUUUUUUUAUAAUAACGGAUUUAGGCAACCUUAAUACAGAGUUGUUAGUGCACUUGUGUUACAAACCGAUGUGUACAGCCUGCGAUUGUGUGUAUAGUAGAGGUCUGCAAACUUGUUGCCCACCCUUUACAUUUUGAGCUGAAUAGGCAUAAAACCAGCCACCGGCAUUGUUCCUAACACUCUUCAGUGGUUAGUACCACAGUGACAGUGGUAUUGUCAUUUGCGCAGUUUUGCGUUAAGCUAAUCAGUGUUAUGAGAGUGGUGGUAAUCUUGGCCGUAAGGCUCAGCUGCAGAAUCCAUUUGGUAUGAAGACACCAUGACUGAUCAGUCAUUAUACCUGUUGGUGCCCUUUGUUAAGUGGAGUAUAUUUUAAACUAGCCCGUAGCCUUUUGAACUAUAGUACAGAAGCUUUUCAACCUCUGAUUUGAACUUACUUGAAGCUCAUUUGAUUGCAAGCAACGGAACUUGCUUCUGCACAUUUGUAGCCCAUUUCUCAAGGAUUUUCAUAGGAAUUUUAGAGGAUUGGAAUCCUUUGGAUUUUCCCUAGGUUGGUCAUUUGAUUCAUCGGGUUAAAUCCUUGGAAUUUUUCCUAAGGAUUCCUUUGUACUGCAUAGGAAUGUUAGCAUCCACUCACAAAUCUAUUGGUAACAUUCCUUUGUUUUUACUGUGAUGCUAUCAAAGAAACCAAAAUCCUGUACGAUUCAAAUGGGCAUGACACUGCAAUCGUAUGUUUUUUCUAUUCAUGUGUUUUUGGAAUUCUGCUAAUCAAAGAGGCCCUGUUUCCGACAAACCGCGACACGUCAGUUCCUUUUCUUAAAGGUUCAUUACUUGUGUUUCUGAUCACAUACAUUUCUGAAAUAUGUGCACGCAGGGGGGCGAUGUCGGAACCCAGUACAGGUCAGGGAUCUACUACUACACCCCGGAGCAGGAGAAGGCGGCGCUCGAGUCUUUGGAGAAGCAGCAGAAGGUUCAGAACCGGAAGAUAGUCACUGAGAUCCUCCCGGCGAAGAGGUUCUACAGGGCGGAAG
rnacentral:lncRNA from 1 species